UUGCAGCCAAUUAAGCCAACCCUGCUCUUUCCCCCGUGGGAGCCCCGUGUGCAAUGGCUGCAAACAGCAGCCUCCUUGGUAGUGCACGCAGCCUCUUGCCUGUAUGGGUUGCCCUAAGGGACUUCGAGACAGCC
ensembl:snoRNA SNORA70 Small nucleolar RNA SNORA70